rnacentral:sRNA from 1 species
UUGAGGAGUUGGAAGACACCUUUAACACAGCUGGUCAUUAUGCCGACCGGGUGUCUGCGCUAAGUUCGGUAUCAAUAUGGUGACCUCCUGGGAGCAGGAGGCCAUCAGGUUGCCUAAAGACGGGAGAACUGGCCCAGGUCAGAAAGGGACCAGGUCAGGACUCCUGCACCAAUCAGUAGUGGGACUGUGCCUGGGCAGUAUAGCAAGAUCUU